rnacentral:tRNA from 1 species
UCCCUGGAGGUCUAGUGGGUAGGCCGUGGUGUUCUCACCACUGUGGCCCGGGUUUGAUUCCCAGCCAGGGAA